AUCCACAUCCAAAGCUGAAAAUGGAUCAUUUGUGGGAGUUGACUGCAAAAUGCGCUUCUUCAAGAGUGGAAUUGAAGCCAAUACACUCUUUGGUGGAGUUGGAGAAGCUAGAGAGUAAGCAGAACUUUCUGCCUGCCUUUUCUUUCCAGGUGUUCUGCUGCUGAUCUCUUUUAUCAAGUUAUGUAUAUCUGGUAAGCAUGCAGUGUCAUUUUCUCCAACCACUGGAGACUUCAUUUUGCAAGAAAUGAAUAAAUCCUUUCCUGCAUCAACCUGAUCAGAUUGUUUGCUAACUUUUGCAACAGGAGAAGCAUUUUUUGCUGGUGACUGAUCCACAUCCAAAGCUGAAAAUGGAUCAUUUGUGGGAGUUGACUGCACAAUGCGCUUCUUCAAGAGUGGAAUUGAAGCCAAUACACUCUGUGGUGGAGUUGGAGAAGCUAGAGAGUAAGCAGAACUUUCUGCCUGCCUUUUCUUUCCAGGUGUUCUGCUGCUGAUCUCUUUUAUCAAGUUAUGUAUAUCUGGUAAGCAUGCAGUGUCAUUUUCUCCAACCAUUGGAGACUUCAUUUUGCAAGAAAUGAAUAAAUCCUUUCCUGCAUCAACCUGAUCAGAUUGUCUGCUAACUUUUGCAACAGGAGAAGCAUUUUUUGCUGGUGACUGAUCCACAUCCAAAGCUGAAAAUGGAUCAUUUGUGGGAGUUGACUGCAAAAUGCGCUUCUUCAAGAGUGGAAUUGAAGCCAAUACACUCUUUGGUGGAGUUGGAGAAGCUCGAGAGUAAGCAGAACUUUCUGCCUGCCUUUUCUUUCCAGGUGUUCUGCUGCUGAUCUCUUUUAUCAAGUUAUGUAUAUCUGGUAAGACAUGCCUAGGCUUUGGCAAGUUAGCUACUGAAGCAUUAAAAUCAAUCCUUGGAACAUCUUGUAAGUCAGGGAGGCUUAAUUUCUCUAACUCAAUGGGUUUGAUUUGCAGGUACUCCUGUAAAAUAUUGACUGCACCAUCACCAUCGAGCUCUUCGUAACUACCAGCAAGCAAUUCAUCCAAAAGUUCGUUAACCCUCUUCUCUGUCUUGGCUACUGAACCUGUUCAGAGUAAUAAGUGAAACUAUCAGAUUUUUCCAAGUAGGGUAGGGAAAAGAAGCUAGAGAAGCUAACAAAAAAUAAGAAGAUAAUCCAGUUGAAUUGUUGAGAGAGAGAGAGAGAGAGAUGAAGGGAAAGAAGAAAUAACUAAAAUUAUUCAUCAAUAAACCAUUUUCCUCCAAUAGAAUCUCUCUUACCACCUAAUUCUCUUUCUUGUGAUGUAACAUUUGCAUUGGUUGUUUCUUGUUGCAAGCUGUUACCAGAUGGACUGAGAGUCUCCUCUUCAACAAUAUCUUGAGAUGGUGCGUCAGUUGAAUAACGAUGCUUGUACUUAACUGAUCUCUUCCUAGGGUUUGGAACCAUAAAUUACAUUUUAUAUAAGACCAAAAAAGCCAUAAAAUAAAGAUUGCUAUGAAAAGGAUAUUGUUGGCACCCAAAAAUUCCUGGUCGACGGGGUCGUGUUAUUUGACUGUUCUGAUCUUUUUCUGUCAAAAUACCUCCUGUCUGUUUCUGCCAUUCCCGUUGGGCAUCUAUACACACAACCAAGAAACAGGAAAAAGAAAAUGUUAACCAACAUACACUGUUACAAACUAGUUCUUAAAUAUCAGAAUAAGCAACUUACUCUCAAACUUUUCAUAUGCCAAGAAGAAUUCCUCUGGAUCUUUCAGUUUACCAAUGUCCAAACUUGGUUCUAAACUCACAAUAGGCUGACUGUCAGUAGAAGAUGGAAGACUGUUCAGCUGAUACUUAGUAAUCAUAAAAUGUACAUUUUAGAGGAAAAAGAAAGAUUUAUUGAAACAGAUGUCAGCAACAAGCUUUACCUUAUAUUAGGCUUUAGAGAAAACCGAGCCCGCUUACGGUCUAACCCUGGUCUUCUUUCUUGUGGAUUUUCAAC
rnacentral:lncRNA from 1 species